rnacentral:rRNA from 1 species
GAUGAACGCUGGCGGCGUGCCUAAUACAUGCAAGUCGAGCGAACAGACGAGGAGCUUGCUCCUCUGACGUUAGCGGCGGACGGGUGAGUAACACGUGGAUAACCUACCUAUAAGACUGGGAUAACUUCGGGAAACCGGAGCUAAUACCGGAUAAUAUAUUGAACCGCAUGGUUCAAUAGUGAAAGACGGUUUUGCUGUCACUUAUAGAUGGAUCCGCGCCGCAUUAGCUAGUUGGUAAGGUAACGGCUUACCAAGGCAACGAUGCGUAGCCGACCUGAGAGGGUGAUCGGCCACAUUGGAACGGGGACACGGUCCAGACUCCUACGGGAGGCAGCAGUAGGGAAUCUUCCGCAAUGGGCGAAAGCUUGACGGAGCAACGCCGCGCGAGUGAUGAAGGUCUUCGGAUCGGAAAACUCUGUUAUGAGGGAAAAACAAAUGUGGAAGUAACUAUGCACGUCUUGACGGUACCUAAUCAGAAAGCCACGGCUAACUACGUG